rnacentral:rRNA from 1 species
AGUGAACGCUGGCGGUAGGCCUAACACAUGCAAGUCGAACGGCAGCACAGUAAGAUCUUGCUCUUACGGGUGGCGAGUGGCGGACGGGUGAGGAAUACAUCGGAAUCUACUUUUUCGUGGGGGAUAACGGAGGGAAACUUACGCUAAUACCGCAUACGACCUACGGGUUAAAGCAGGGGAUCUUCGGAGCUUUCGCGAUUGAAUGAGCCGAUGUCGGAUUAGCUAGUUGGCGGGGUAAAGGCCCACCAAGGCGACGAUCCGUAGCUGGUCUGAGAGGAUGAUCAGCCACACUGGAACUGAGACACGGUCCAGACUCCUACGGGAGGCAGCAGUAGGGAAUAUUGGGCAAUGGGCGAAAGCCUGAUCCAGCCAUACCGCGUGGGUGAAGAAGGCCUUCGGAUUGUAAAGCCCUUUUGUUGGGAAAGAAAAGCAGCAGGUUAAUACCCCGCUGUUCUGACGGUACCCAAAGAAUAAGCACCGGCUAACUUCGUG